CAGUUUUUUUUUUUUGUUAGAGAGUGUUGUUUGAGAGUAUUUUGAGAUAAGAGGUUUUGCCAAAGUACCGUCGAUAUGCGGUUAUGUACAUA